AAGAUUUUGCCUUCCCACUUCACUUUCUCCCUCCUAAAAGAGACAGUGUAUCCAAAGAUUUUUUUCCUUGAACACAGAGUGUGGGGCUUUGGUAGGCUUACUGGAAACGGGCUAGGUCAGUGCUUCAAAUGAAGAGAGUACUUACUGUUAACCAAACAUGGAGGUGAAUAACUUGGCAUUAAAUUCUUUCAAUUUAGAACUCUAAUCAUUCGUAGACUUCCAAGAGUAAUAGGCCAUUUCAUUGAAGUAGUAAACCCUCAAGACAGAUGAAACUUGUGGUGCAUGCGUGC
rnacentral:lncRNA from 1 species